GGGGAUUUGGCUCAGUGGUAGAGCGCUUGCCUAGGAAGCGCAAGGCCCUGGGUUCGGUCCCCAGCUCCG
rfam:Rattus norvegicus chromosome 9, whole genome shotgun sequence.